UGACAUGGGCGCAGCCUGACCGCCUGCCGCGUGAGUGAUGAAGGCCUUCGGGUUGUAAAGCUCUUUUGGCGGGGACGAUGAUGACGGUACCCGCAGAAUAAGCCCCGGCUAACUUCGUGCCAGCAGCCGCGGUAAGACGAAGGGGGCUAGCGUUGUUCGGAAUUACUGGGCGUAAAGCGAGUGUAGGUGGUUGUCCAAGUUGGAUGUGAAAGCCUUGAGCUCAACUCAAGAAAUGCAUUCAGGACUGGAUGGCUAGAGGACCGGAGAGGAUAGUGGAAUUCCCAGUGUAGUGGUGAAAUACGUAGAGAUUGGGAAGAACACCAGUGGCGAAGGCGGCUAUCUGGACGGUUUCUGACACUAAGACUCGAAA
rnacentral:rRNA from 1 species